GGGCCUGUGAUGGACGCUUAAAUUUUGGGAGUCUUGGAGGUAGUUCAUACCUGCGUUGUGGUAGAGACUAGACUCUCACCGGGAGCUGUCCGGUGACCACAAGCUGAUCACUGGAAGUGGUGCUAGUGACCACUUGGUGGGUGGAUGUAGUAUCUACACAACCUACUUGGUCAAGAGAGGUAUUGUUAUCAGUGGUCACGUGAUCAAGAGAGACGUUGUUAUCAGUGGACUCUUGAUCAAGAGAGUCACCACUGACCAGAAAUGAUCGAGUGAGGAAGGGAGCCAUAACUAUCAGUAGGCAGCAGAGGAAGAUAACAGUACUAACGGUUCGUGAUAACCCUGAUAGGACGUGAUAACCCUGAUAACCCUUUUCAUUCCUCAUUGUGUCGAGUGACAGGCGGAGGGCAAGGUUUUACCGUUGGUACUGAAGGCCAGUCAGGGAGGGACCGACCAGAGGGAACCGGCACUCACUCACAGUCGGAAUGCUACGGAUACACGCCAUGUGCAGUGCGACCAGCACCACACCCCACACCACGGCUGAUCCACCGAAAACUUUCAUUGUAGCACACAAGUUAGUCCUUUUCCGGAGAAGAAUUGUUGUGUCAUUUGCAGGAUGAGCAGAGAGCAAAGUUCCAGGACCUUUUGAAGACGUUCUCCAACUUGUUUGGGGAGGUCCCCACUCAGACACCUCUCAUUACUCAUGAUGUUCAACUGACAGAGGUAACUCCACUUCGGCUACACCCUUAUCGAGUGACCCCCUAGAAACGACGUAUCAUCCAGGAGGAAGUUGAUUAUCUUCUUCACCAUGGUUUCAUUCGCCCCAGUCAGAGCACUUGGAGUUCAUCGUUUUUAGUGGUACCAAAACCAGAUGGAAAAUGGGGGUUAGUAGUGGACUAUAGGAAAUUAAACAAGGUAACUGUAGUCGAUGUAUACCCACUACCUUUGUUAGAAAACUGCAUUGAUCAGAUUGGUCAUACUAAAUAUGUAUCAAAACUAGACUUAUCUAAGGGGUAUCACCAGAUACCACUUAUUAACUUUGCUAAAGAAGUGACAGCUUUUAUCACCACUGAUGGAGUAUUUGAAUUUAAUGUGAUGCCAUUUGGACUGAGAAAUGCCCCAGCAACUUUUCAAAAGUUGAUGAACUCUUAGCUAAAAGAUGUGCCAGAUUGUAGAGCAUACUUAGAUGAUAUUGUGAUUUUUAGUAAGUGUUGGGAAGACCAUAUUUCUAGUUUGAAACAAUUGUUUGCAGUGUUACGACAUGCUAAUCUAACUGUAAAUGUAAAUAAAUGUAUUUGGGCUAAGGGAACAAUAAUUUACUUGGGACAUGAGGUCGGACAAGGUAAGAUAGUCCCGUUGCAAGACAAGAUCCAGGCAAUCGUGGAUUACCCAGUACUAACGAACAAGAAAUCUGUGCAGAGGUUUAUUGGGAUGUGUGCAUAUUAUAGAAGAUAUUGUAAGAACUUUUCCAUUGUGGCUGCACCUAUAACUAAUCUUUUUAGAAAGCCUGUAAAGUUCAAGUGGACACAGGAGUGUCAGAACACUUUUCAGAAGUUGAAAGGAAUUCUCUCAACGUCACCUGUAUUAGCCAGUCCACAAUUUGAUAACCCAUUUAUAAUGCACAUAGACGCUUCGGAUCUAAGAGCAGGUGCGGUUCUUUCCCAGGUAGGACCAGAUGGUUUAGAACACCAUGUAUACUAUUUUUCUCUUAAAUUUGAUAAGGCACAAACUAGUUAUUCUGUGGUAGAGAAGAAAGUUCUUUGUUUGAUUUUGGCAGUUAAGAAAUUUGAAACAUACCUGUCAGGUAAUCAAGUUGUCAUAUACACAGAUCAUAAUCCCCUGACAUUCAUUAACUCCAUGAAAUGUAAGAACCAAAGAGUUCUUAGGUGGUCUUUGAUUUUACAAGAAUUCAACAUAGUAAUUAGACAUAUCCCUGGAAGGCAAAAUGUAAUUGCUGAUGACUUAUCCAGGGGAUUCCCCAUUGUAGUGCCCUAAUGUGAAUUGUUUUAUACAUGAGGAUGUCUUUACCUUUUUGGUUAUUUCAUAUAUUUCAUUUAAUUGAUUGUUUUAUACAUUGAUUUUGUGUUGUUGGAGUACUCAAUGCUAUAUCCUAUACCCAAUGCUAUUCAAAAAAAUGAAAUUAACCUUCAGUUAAUUUCAUUUUUCUUUAAGGACAGCGAGGGAUGUUACGAAUCCAUAUAUUUGAUUCUAACAUUCAUCAUGAUAAAUAUGUUUGUCAAUUAUUUUCUUUCCUCAGUUAUUUAAAUAAAAACUUGUAUCAAUUUAUGUUCCAGUAUAUAUAUGUUUGAUUUAAAUGUAGCAUGCUGUAGUGUGCCUGUAUUGGAUAUUUGUUAAUGCUAUUGCAUGUUCAUUCCUGUGUGGGAGACAGUGGCGUCUAAUGGCGGGAUGACCAUAUUUGGGAUGUUAUAGGCAUAUAAGUUAGUUAUAAUUAUGUUCUUUAGUGUUACUAAAGAACAUAAUUAUGUUCCUAAAGAACAGAAUUUAUGAUACUAAUGAACAUAAAUCUAGAGGUUUCAUGUGGGCUUUAUAGUUGGUAACGUCUAGACGCCACGCCGUCCAUGCUCGAGCAACGCAGUCGUGUGGGUGGAGUUGGCUGGCGUGGUCGUGUUGGGAGUUAAGUCUGUGGUCCCUGUUAUUGUUCAGUAACAGUUAAUUUUCUGGUUAGACCAUUAUGUGCAUACCCAUCUAACCAUUUAAGUUUUAAAAUAUUGAUCAGUGCUUGUAUAAUGAUAUUGUGUUGUAUUCUGAUGCAUUAAUAUUUCUGGCUGCCUGUAGUUCCAUUUAUAUAUUUGUAUGUUCUUGUUACCCUUACUUUAAGUAUAUUGCUUUGUUAAAUAAGCAGCGGAUUCAUUUACCCUAGACACUUAAUUAAGUAGGCAAGGCCGUAUUAUUAUAUAUUUUAUAACCACGGCAACGGAGGAACUAUACCCAGAGGUCAAGAGACGUAACACUACAAAUGUACUAAUUACCCCAAUAGAGACACACGAAUCAGGCGACUCAAACAAUUACACAAAUGUACUAGGUGUCUCAUAUCACAUAAUGUUAACAGCUGUGACACCCCACUGAACACCUGCAAUAAGUGUAGAAGGGGCAAGCAUCAUGCUGCACUGUGCGAAUUUGUCAAAACAAAUUAUAUUAAUCCUAGAAUAGGAGGUAGAGAAUCUACACAUGUACAGUGCUAAAAGGUGCGAGAUGUGUACAGCGUAAUUUCAAUCUCAAGUGGAUGCAACCUUGCCAACUGCCCAACUGCAAGUAAAGAAUAGAGGGAUCAAGAUCACCACUCGUGGACUAUUUCAUCAAACCUAUAAACGAUUUACAAAAAUUGGAGAAGAAAUUUACAUUAAAAUACAGGGGAAAUUAUUACAUU
rnacentral:lncRNA from 1 species